GGGCUUUCACGAGUCGCCC
rnacentral:siRNA from 1 species